rnacentral:lncRNA from 1 species
AAGCAUAGCGACUGUGGGGCAAAGAGUCAGAGAGGGGAGGAUACAGACUUGGGAGGGCAGAGACUCAGAAACAGAAUGUUCGCAUUAGGGACAUGGUGUUGCGGGGAGCUGCCUCCCCCAGCCCCUGCUCCCUCCCUCACCGCCAGACUAUGAUGAGAGAAGCCACCUGCAUGACACCUUCACCCAGAUGACCCAUGCCCUGCAGGAGCUGGCUGCUGCCCAGGGAUCCUUUGAGGUUGCCUUCCCUGAUGCUGCGGAGAAAAUGAAGAAGGUCAUUACACAGCUUAAAGAAGCCCAGGCUUGCAUCCCUCCCUGCGGUAAGGACUUCAUCUAAAACUUGGAAAUUGCGGGGUAAGGGAGGCGGUCGGGGACGAAACGUACGACAUCAAGUGUGGGAAAGCGGGUGGGCUUCACAUCCUUAGGAAGCCAAUAAGAUCCCUGGAGAAAAGGAAGAAAACCAAGUAUUGCUCUAAAUCCUCA